rnacentral:lncRNA from 1 species
GGGUGAGCCCUUGGGCCACGUCUUCUUCAAACUGUUUGUAGGCAAAGUUCCAAAGACAGCAGAAAACUUUUGUGCUUUGGGAACUGUAGAGAAAGAAUUUGGUUAUACGAGAUUCUGCUUUCACAAAAUUAUUCCAAGGUUUAUGUGCCAGGGUGGUAACUUCAUGCCAUAAUGGCACUGAUGGCAAAUCCAUAUGCGAGGAGAAAUUUGGUUAUGAAAAUUUCAUCCAGAAGCAUAGAGGUCCUGGCAUCUUGUCCAUGGCAAAUGCUGGACCCAAUAAAAAUGGUUUCCAAUUUUUAAUCUGCCAUGCCAAGGCUGAAUGGUUGGAUGGCAACCAUGUGGGCCUGGACAAUGUGAAAGAGGGCAUGAGGGU